AACGUUGCAGCCUCCUUGGUUAGGAGUUUCCGGAAUUAGGGAUCGUAUGAAAGAUGCAAUGCUCCUCCCCCCACCAAAGGGAAGAGAAUCUGACUCGAGAUAUGCCCUGUUUACUCCAUUCUCCUGUGUCAUUUUUAACGCAGAAAUAACUGGUCCAAGAAGAGCUACCCUUUAUUGACCAAGUACAUUUGAGUCGAGGUCCUUCAUUCACUGAGGAAACAAGUUCGAAGCACCGACCAGACACUAGGUCUCCGCUACUGGGGCCAGUUUGGGGAUGCAGGGAUGAUGGGGGCUGCAACCUGCAAGCAGAUGACUGCCCCCUGUUGUGUGAGAAAACCCAUGGCAGGAUUUAAAUCAUAGAACCCUAGGAACACAGAAGAGAGCCUCUGACCCCCUGCCAUAGUGUGCGGGGUCGGGGGUGUGUGGUGUGUGGGUGUUUGGUCAGGACACACUUCUCAGGGGUGGGGAGGUUCUUCAGGUGGCACUUCGAUCAUCCACAGUUUACAGACACAAGCUGAAGAGCAGAGACAUGAACAUGGGUGGAGCCAGAUUUCCAUUCUCAGUCUGUUGGCUCCAGACCACCAUGGCAGCUGGGUCAGCUCCAGAGCUGUCAUGCAGCCACUACAAACACUUCCUCUGCCUCUGCUUGCCUCUCAGUUCCUUCCAUCUGAUAAAUAGAGUGAGACUGGUGGAGAUAUAACUGGGGGAGGGUUGAUUGCAAAGCCUCUCUGAUAUGGCAGAGUGCCCCCCACACACACAGGGGAGGCUGAAGUCCUGCCCGGCCGUUGGCUCUGAGGCAAUCCUUUUGCGCCGGUGGACUCCAGUUUCUUGGCUGCAAGGCAGCUCCUGCGAAGGCAAACACAGAGAGCGUCUUAGAACCUUUCAGGGUGGCUUUGCCCUACUGGGUUCCUGCAUUUCACAGGUGGACAUGGUAUUGGGACAAUGAUGACUUUCCUGUCACGGAACAACAUCUGCAUCUCGGCACCUGAAUCACAAGCCAAGUGGGUUGUCGUGACCGCAAAGAAGACGGGCUUUGCAGUCGGGCAGAACUAGGGCUUGACUGCCAGAUCCAGCCUUUACUGCAUCAGCGACCUAACCUCUUUGAGCUUGUUUCCUCGUCUAUGGAAGGCGGGGGUUGAUACUUCUCUGGAUCUAUGGGGAAUAAAACCGCAUAUGCCCGGCUCCCAUUAGCUCAGUAACUAGGCUCCGGGUGAACCAUUUUACACUGCGCCCUGUGUUAGGGACACAUCAGUGUGGAGGCAAGCAUGCCGGGGGCCUCUGGGCAUCUACUCCAUCCUCUGGCUGGGGUGGGGGUUGGGGUAGUGGCGGUGGAACUGGUGCCAUUUCCAUCUUUUUAAUUGUCUUUACAUAUCAAAGGCACACACUUCAUUUCAUACUUAGGUGUGCUCUGCUCAGAGGAGUUGUACUGAAUGAAGUCAGUCCUCACAGUUGAGUCUGUAGCAGGCAGAACCAGCAGUGGGGACACCUAAGGAGUUGCAGGAAGGUGCUGUCAGAUUCCCUAAGAGGGUCCCCAUACUGAGUGCGCAGCUGAUCCUUGCCUCCCUGAUGAUCACAGGGGACUAGUAAAUCACAGCCUUGCAUGGGGAGGACCCGUUAAUAUACUUUCUCCUGUCCUAACAGAAACUCAGACUAUAAACUAUAGUGAAAAUCUCAUCAAAACAAAGUCCAUGGGUAGGGCAGUUCAAAGCCUGUUCAAUUUACUGGGUCACAGAUACCAUAAAGUGACAGAUUUUUUUUCCCAUUGUUCAGCUUAUCCCUCCUCACUGUGAAGCAGGUGGUCACCCUGGAUCCCUCUAUGCUUCCAAAACUGUGGCCAAAUUCCAAAGGUCAUAUUCAAAGGCAACAGUGGGCCCGUAUAACAUAAGGCGAGAGAGCUUUUCUGUCUGUAUCCUGUUCUUAGCAAGGAAGCCUUUCCCAGAAAAACUCAGCCAUCAGAUUGCAUUUCAAAUCAGCUCACUGUGAACCACAGUAAAAUGUGUGUCCGUGUGGGGAAUUCAUAAUGAAAUCUCCAUCACCUUCCAUUCGGUAAAAAUAUCAAAUCUGGUAACUGUGACUUUUCAUCCAGGUACUCCUCAGGAAAAAUGGAAAUUGCUCUACCCAGCCUGACAGCUGAACCUAAGAAGGAAUCAGACAGAUGAGGAGGGAGGAAGGGCAUAUAAAUACCAAGAAGUGGAAUUGGGGCUUCCCUGGUGGCGCAGUGGUUGAGAGUCCGCCUGCCGAUGCAGGGGACACGGGUUCGUGCCCCGGUCCGGCAAGAUCCCACAUGCCGCGGAGCGGCUCGGCCCAUGAGCCAUGGCCGCUGAGCCUGCGCGUCCGGAGCCUGUGCUCCACAACGGGAGAGGCCACAACAGUGAGAGGCCCGCGUACCGAAAAAAAAAAAAAAAAAAAAGUGGAAUUGCUGGAUCAUAUGGUAGUUCUAGCUUUAGGUUUUUUAGGAAACCCUCACUGUUUCCAUAGUGGUUGCACCAAUUUACAUUCCCACCAACAGUGCAUGAGGGUUUCCUUUUCUCCACAUCCUCGCCCACAUUGCUUACUUGUUAUUGUCUUUUUGAUAAUAGCCACUUGACAGGUAUGAGGAAGCACCUCACUGUGGUCUUGAUUUUGCAAUCCCUGAUGAUUAGUGAUGUUGAGCAUCUUUUCAUAUGCCUGUUGGCCAUCUGUAUUAUCUUCUUUGGAAAAAUGUCUAUUCAGUGUUUUGCCCCACUUUUUAAUCGGGCUGUUGGUUUGUUUCUUGUUUUGUUUUGAUAAUGAGUUCUGUGAGCCCUUUAGAUGUUUUGGCUAUCUACCUCUUUUCGGAUAUAUCACUUGCUAAUAUCUUCUCCCAUUCAGCAGGUUGCCUUUUUGUUUUGUUGCCGGUUUCCCCUGCUGUGGAAAAGCUUUUUAGUUUGAUGUACUCCCGUUUGUCCAUUUUUGCUUUUGCUGCCCUUGCCUGAGGAGACAUAUCCCAAAAAUUAUUGCUAAGACCAGUGUCAAAGAGCAUACUUGGCUAUGUUUUCUUCUAGGAGUUUUAUGGUUUAAGGUCUUACAAUUUAGGCUUUAAUCCAUUUUUUGUUUAUUUUUGUAUGUUGUGUAAGAAAGUGGUCCAGUUUUCCCAGAACCAUUUAUUGAAGAGGCAGCCUUUU